UUAGUUUUAUGUUAUUUGAAGUUCAAUGAAAUAUUUACAAUUAUUUAACUUUUACGACUUUUUUCCGCCUCACCUUGAUCAGGCAUGCGCUUGCACCUAGGCUCUAGGGGCAAAUUAUAGAGUACAACUGGUGCACUAAAAAAUAGUGCACCUCAUACUCAAUUUUAAUUAUUCCUCAAGGAGGGUAGGUCUCAUGUAUAUGUGAGAGAAGGAGCAUGCGCUCUAGGAGUAUUGAAUAAUCUCUCACCUUGUAUCUAUAUGUACCUGUAAUUUAGUACUAGGCAUGGCAAUCAAUAAAGCUAGCCUCUCUCUGUCUAUUUCUUUCCUUUCCAAGUAGACAAAAGUUACUUGAUUCUUUUUCCUUCCUCUUUUGCUUUUUGUUUCAUGCCCCCAUUUGUACAUAUUCUAUUUUCAAACCAGGAUUUUGCAUUGCUGCAUGCACAGGGAUAAUUAAUGGAACUUGCCAACUUAGUACGGAUUUAUGUGGACUUAUAUUUUUGAGAUUUGAAUAUAUAAUUGUCACUUUUAAAAGGAGUUCCCAUUUGCAAACAGAUAGAAUAUGAAACAGUUCAAG
rnacentral:misc_RNA from 1 species